GACGAACGCUGGCGGCGUGCUUAACACAUGCAAGUCGAACGGAAAGGCCCUGCUUUUGUGGGGUGCUCGAGUGGCGAACGAGUGAGUAACACGUGAGUAACCUGCCCUUGACUUUGGGAUAACUUCAGGAAACUGUGGCUAAUACCGGAUAGGAGCUCCUGCUGCAUGGUGGGGGUUGGAAAGUUUCGGCGGGUGGGGAUGGACUCGCGGCUUAUCAGCUUGUUGGGGGGGUAGUGGCUUACCAAGGCUUUGACGGGUAGCCGGCCUGGGCGGGUGACCGGCCACAUUGGGACUGGGAUCCGGCCAAGACCCCUACGGGAGGAAGCAGUGGGGAAUAUUGACCAAUGGGCGGAACCCUAAUGAAGCACCGCCGCGUGCGGGAUGACGGCCUUCGGGUUGUAAACCGCUUUCGCCUGUGACGAAGCGUGAGUGACGGUAAUGGGUAAAGAAGCACCGGCUAACUACGUG
rnacentral:rRNA from 1 species